rnacentral:rRNA from 1 species
GACGAACGCUGGCGGCGUGCUUAACACAUGCAAGUCGUACGGUAAGGCCAUUUCGGUGGUACACAAGUGGCGGACGGGUGAGUAACACGUGCGUAACCUGCCCACAACUUUGGGAUAACGCUAGGUAACUGGUGCUAAUACUGGUUCUGUGCCCCUGCUGCAUGCUGGGGGUUGGAAAGCUCCGGCGGUUGUGGAUGGCCUCGCGGCCUAACAGCUUGCUGGUGGGGUAGUGUCCUACCAAGGCGGCGACGUGUAGCCGGCCUGCGGGGGUGACCGGCCAUACUGAGACUGAGAGACGGCCCAGACACCUACGGGAGGGAGCAGUGGGGAAUAUUGCACGAUGGGCGCAAGCCUGAUGCAGCAACGCCGCGGACCGGAUGACGGUCUUCGGGUUGUAAACCGCUUGCAGCAGGGACGAAGCUUUUUGUGACGGUACCUGCAGAAGAAGCACCGGCUAACUACGUG